rnacentral:lncRNA from 1 species
UUUUUUUUUUUUUUUUUUUUUUUAGUAUAUUCUACUAGCAGUAUGGAAAGCCUGUUUAAAAUAAUGGAUAGAGAUGAUAAUGAUACAAAUAUCAUCUGCAAUCUAUAGGUCACCAUGUUAAGGAAGAAAAGCCUGACUUUAAUUCAGUGACUUUUUUGAAACAGUAGGGGUUGUUUUUUUUUUCUCUUAAUGCAGUACAUUCAACCCAAAGAACAUAUAAAAUAUCUUCAAUCAGCUGUUCAUAUAUAGAAAACCAGUUUAAGUGCAUUGUGAAUACUAUUAAAAAAACUGGUGCUUCAUAAUUUUUAUAUGGUUUUAGUAAGACAGUUUGUAAAAAUGGAAAUAUUACUCAAAAUUAUAUCAAAGUAAUUUGACCCCAAAAGGUCAGAUGAAAAAGAGGAUCUAGGGCCUGAAAAGAUGACUUAGCUCCUAAGAACAUACCUUUUGUGAAUCUAAUUCCAUCUGAUUUGAUGACUUCUAUCCUCCACAGGCACCAGGCAUACGCAUGGUGCACAGAUGAACAUGCGGGCAAAACACUCAAUAAAAUAAAUAAUUCUAUUUUUUUAAUUAGAUGUUUUCUUUAUUUACAUUUCAAAUGUUAUCACCUUUCCUAGUUUCCCCUCCGAAAAAUCUCAUAUCCCCUCUCCCUUCCCCCAGUUCUCCAACCCUCCCACUCCCUCUUCCUGGCUCAGGCAUUCCCCUAUACUGGGGCACAGAACCUUCACAGGACCAAGGGCCUCUCCUCCCAUUGAUGACCAACUAGGCUACAUUGCAGCUAGAGCCACAAGUCCCACCAUCUGUUUUCUUUGAUUGGUGGAGCUGUAGGGUUACUGGUUAGUUCAUAUUGUUGUUCUCCUAGGGGGAUACUUUUUUUUUUUUUUUAAGAGAAAGAAGAUGUAAUAGUUAAGCAAAUGAAUUUGUUUCAUGGGGUGAUUUCUAUAAAAGAAAAAAUCCUCUGCUUUCUCCCAAAUUUAAUGGAAGAAGGUUAUGUAAAUACUUUAUAUGAAAUAGUUUUAUUUCCUGCAAAACACAAUUUUAUGAACCUAUACAUUAUAUGUAAUCUCUAUAUUUAUAUGAUUAUAAUGAUACAAAAGAAGAGUUUAAGAGAAUAUAAAAGGAUGUUCUAGGUAAACAACUUAAAUAAUAACAGAACAAGAGGUACUUAAGGAUCAAGGCUGAACAGAGCUAAUCCAGAGUAAUGAGCAUUUUGUGAUUUCAUCAGGAAAUGAAGCCUAGCUCAUGCUUAUCUUGUAGGCAUUUUACAAAAUUUGAACUCUAAGAGCAAUGGCAAACCUCUGACAGAUUAAACCAAAGGAAUGCUGUGGUAACCUAGUAUUCUUAAAGACUGUUAUGUAUGCUCCACAUAUACCAGGUUAGACCAGAACAAAGAAAAUGUUGAAAUCUUGGUUGGAGUGUGGCACAAAACCAAAGAAAGUAGACAAAGUUGUCAUCAAUAAUGAACUCAGGAGGAGAAUUACAUAUGGAAUGGUGCUAGAUGCAGUUGUGUGCACCUGUAAUCCAAGAAUUCAUGUGUGAAAGGCAGGAGACUCUUAAAUGUAAAGGUAGACUGGAGUACACAGCAAGACUCUUUAAAAACAAAACAACAAAAAGUAUGUAGGCCUGAUGGUGCAGGUCUGUAAUACCAGCUACUUAUUGGGGACUGAGACAGAAGAAUCACAAAUUCAAGGACUUUCUGGAUUACAACUUGAGUUCAAGGCCAGUCUGGACAAGUCAAUAAGAUCUUAUCUUUAAAAGAAGGAAAAAAAUAAGAAAUCGUAGGGAAAAAAAUCAAACUGAAGAGAUGGCUCAGUUAGUAAAGUAUUUGAUAAACAAACAUGAUCACCUACAUUUACGAACAGCUCAGUUUAGGGGCUGGACAGAUGGCACCCAGUUUAAGAGCACUUGGUGUUUCUUCAAUCCUAGUGCUGGUAAGUUGAGAGAGGAUAACCUUAGCUGCUCGCUUGCCAGUCAGCCAGCCAGCCAGAUCUGUGUUUCAGCUUCAGUGAAAGAUCUGUCUCAAAAAAAGCUAGAAAGUCACCAACAAAGGCAACCUAGCUUGGUCUUCUGUCUGUGUGUGUGUGUGUGUGUGUGUGUGUGUGUGUGUGUGUGUGUGUAUGUAUGUAUGUGUAUAUAUAUGCAUAUGUAUAUAUAUGCAUAUGUAUAUGCACAUCAACAUGAGUGGUAUCCAUUCUCUCUUUCAUGCUUCCCCCAUCACACACAAACACAUAGAAUGUAGCCAACUAAAAUUCUCAGUCUGUCACACCACUGUAAAUACAAGGUUGUCCCAUUUGUUGAGAUGAGAAAUAGCAAAGAAUAAUGAAAUUGGAUCUUUCUAGAAUUUGCAUUAAAAUGUACUCAUAUUUUUGGAUUUGAAUUUGAAAUAUUUUGUAAGCAUAGUUCUCUUUUGUACAUAUUAUAAAUAUAAUCAGUUAACUGUUGAAUAAUUGACUAGAUUAAAGUUAUUCUGUUUUAUAAGACUCUUUUGCAGUGCAUGGGGAGGAUCAAUGAUUGAUGCAGACUUUCAUGUGAUCCAAGAAGAGGCUACCAGCUCUUGUAUAAAUUUUAGAAGGUUCUGCCCUGUAGUUUUUUUUGUUUGUUUGUUUUUUGUUUUUUGUUUUUAUUUGUUUGUUUUUGAGAAUUCCUCAGUGCUUGCUCUUUUGAACUUUACAUUUUUACAAAACAAUCUAUAACACUAUUUCUAACUUUAAGUUCUGUGAGGUUUUUAUUUUGUUUCUCAUGUGAACAGGAACUCUGCAGUGAGCUAGAGCCAUAUUCUCAGUGUAUAAGAACCAAAAGGAAUGAUGCAAUUAACUUGUUACAGCCCAAGUGACCUGGACAGGACCCGAGGUAGCCAAAGGAGCACAUGCCAAUAUUUAUUUGAGUUCUGAUUUAAUAGAUAGUGAAUGCCUUUGCUUCAUUUUCAUUUUAUGAGAAAAUUUCUCAAUCUAAUAGUAGCCACUUAACAGAAUAAGGAGUAACUGCAUUCGAUUCCCUUAGGAACAUUCCUUAUUACUAUUAAUAGCAUCUCAUGUUCUUUAGAACACUGUUUCUGUGGAGCUCAAGAUAAAAUACAUGGGCUCUUAGGAUGUACACUGACCUGUCCACAACUCUACUGUAAAAAGUUACAC